AACUAGUCCGGUCCACUAUGUAAAAUAUCAUGACCUAACAUUGUCUUUCAAUCUUUUAUUGAACAGAAUAUUUAAUGAAAGAAUAUAAAUAACAUCGGGAAAGAGUAUAAAUAGUAUCAGAUUUUAAACUCAAACAACUACCAAGCCUUUCAAAAUCGUCUAUUCAUUAAUUGUAUGUUGAAAGUGGCCGGUACAUCGGUGAUCAUAAAUGCAAACUGCAAGAUAGAUCAAAUUUAUCAACAAAAACACCAUUCAGAAGUCAAAAGGCCCAAUACCCAAGGCAUAAGGAGCUCCCUAUAUAUAUAGGGAUCAUGGAAUCAUUAAAUUGUCG
rnacentral:lncRNA from 1 species